ACUUGCUCCACACACUCCUUAUCCAUCAGAGGGAUCGAAUACGCCUGGAGCUGGAGGUUCGCACAUUGGUACUCCACCUCACUUUGGUUAAGGUGGUAAUCAAGUGUGGAGUCUGUUACGGCCUGCAACAUUUUCUUUUUGUUUGGACUAUAUUUUGCUAUCUUGUCGCGACAAUUUGUGAUGUUUGUGUCACUUGCGAUGUUUAUGCGACGGUUUAUGUGAUGUUUAUGCGACGGUUUAUGUGAUGUU